rnacentral:rRNA from 1 species
AGCAGCCGCGGUAAUUCCAGCUCCAAUAGCGUAUAUUAAAGUUGUUGCAGUUAAAAAGCUCGUAGUUGAAUUUCGGGGUUAGUAGGUCGGUCGUGCCACAGGUAUGUACUGGUCUCACUGAUUCCUCCUUCCUGAUGAACCGUAAUGCCAUUAAUUUGGUGUUGCGGGGAAACUGGACUGUUACUUUGAAAAAAUUAGAGUGUUUAAAGCAGGCUAACGCUUGAAUACAUUAGCAUGGAAUAAUGAAAUAGGACGUUCGAUCCUAUUUUGUUGGUUUCUAGGAUUGACGUAAUGAUUAAUAGGGAUAGUUGGGGGCAUUAGUAUUCAAUUGUCAGAGGUGAAAUUCUUGGAUUUAUUGAAGACUAACUACUGCGAAAGCAUUUGCCAAGGAUGUUUUCAUUAAUCAAGAACGAAAGUUAGGGGAUCGAAGACGAUCAGAUACCGUCGUAGUCUUAACCAUAAACUAUGCCGACUAGGGAUCGGAUGAUGUUAAUUUUUAAUGACUCAUUCGGCGCCUUAC